rnacentral:rRNA from 1 species
CUGGCUCAGAUUGAACGCUGGCGGCAUGCUUUACACAUGCAAGUCGAACGGUAACAGGGUGCUUGCACCGCUGACGAGUGGCGAACGGGUGAGUAAUAUAUCGGAACGUACCUAGUAAUGGGGGAUAACUAUCCGAAAGGAUAGCUAAUACCGCAUACGCCCUGAGGGGGAAAGAGGGGGAUCGCAAGACCUCUCGUUAUUAGAGCGGCCGAUAUCAGAUUAGCUAGUUGGUGAGGUAAAGGCUCACCAAGGCMACGAUCUGUAGCGGGUCUUAGAGGACGAUCCGCCACACUGGAACUGAGACACGGUCCAGACUCCUACGGGAGGCAGCAGUGGGGAAUCUUGGACAAUGGGCGMAAGCCUGAUCCAGCAAUGCCGCGUGCGUGAAGAAGGCCUUCGGGUUGUAAAGCGCUUUUGUUCGGGAGGAAAUCCUAGUGGCUAAUAUCCAUUGGGGAUGACAGUACCGGAAGAAUAAGGACCGGCUAACUACGUGCCAGCAGCCGCGGUAAUACGUAGGGUCCAAGCGUUAAUCGGAAUUACUGGGCGUAAAGGGUGCGCAGGUGGUUGAUUAAGUGUGAUGUGAAAGCCCCGGGCUCAACCUGGGAAUUGCAUUGCAAACUGGUCAACUAGAGUAUGGCAGAGGGGGGUGGAAUUCCGCGUGUAGCAGUGAAAUGCGUAGAGAUGCGGAGGAACACCGAUGGCGAAGGCAACCCCCUGGGCUAAUACUGACACUCAUGCACGAAAGCGUGGGGAGCAAACAGGAUUAGAUACCC